rnacentral:snoRNA from 1 species
UGCAACCUAUGACGUAAAUUAACCCAUUUACUGAAUGAAGUACAUUGAUUAUUUCAGUAAAAUCACCAUCUUUCGGCUGAGGUUACA